UAUUUAUAAACAUAUGCAAACAAAUUUAAAAAUUCCCAAUGAUACAGAGAAGAUUAGCAUGGCCCCUGUGCAAGGAUGGCACUCAAAUUUGUGAAGCAUUCCAUAUUUUU